rnacentral:rRNA from 1 species
AGUGAACGCUGGCGGUAGGCCUAACACAUGCAAGUCGAACGGCAGCACAGUAAGAGCUUGCUCUUACGGGUGGCGAGUGGCGGACGGGUGAGGAAUACAUCGGAAUCUACUUUUUCGUGGGGGAUAACGUAGGGAAACUUACGCUAAUACCGCAUACGACCUACGGGUGAAAGCAGGGGAUCUUCGGACCUUGCGCGAUUGAAUGAGCCGAUGUCGGAUUAGCUAGUUGGCGGGGUAAAGGCCCACCAAGGCGACGAUCCGUAGCUGGUCUGAGAGGAUGAUCAGCCACAGUGGAACUGAGACACGGUCCAGACUCCUACGGGAGGCAGCAGUGGGGAAUAUUGGACAAUGGGCGCAAGCCUGAGCCAGCCAUACCGCGUGGGUGAAGAAGGCCUUCGGGUUGUAAAGCCCUUUUGUUGGGAAAGAAAAGCAGCAGGUUAAUACCCCGCUGUUCGGACGGUACCCAAAGAAUAAACACCGGCGAACUUCGU